ACACAUGCAAGUCGAGGGGCAUCAGUUUGGUUUGCUUGCAAACCAAAGCUGGCGACCGGCGCACGGGUGAGUAACACGUAUCCAACCUGCCUCAUACUCGGGGAUAGCCUUUCGAAAGAAAGAUUAAUAUCCGAUAGCAUAUAUUUCCCGCAUGGGUUUUAUAUUAAAGAAAUUCGGUAUGAGAUGGGGAUGCGUUCCAUUAGUUUGUUGGCGGGGUAACGGCCCACCAAGACUACGAUGGAUAGGGGUUCUGAGAGGAAGGUCCCCCACAUUGGAACUGAGACACGGUCCAAACUCCUACGGGAGGCAGCAGUGAGGAAUAUUGGUCAAUGGACGCGAGUCUGAACCAGCCAAGUAGCGUGAAGGAUGACUGCCCUAUGGGUUGUAAACUUCUUUUAUAUGGGAAUAAAGUGGUCCACGUGUGGAUUUUUGUAUGUACCAUAUGAAUAAGGAUCGGCUAACUCCGUGCCAGCAGCCGCGGUAAUACGGAGGAUCCGAGCGUUAUCCGGAUUUAUUGGGUUUAAAGGGAGCGUAGGCGGAUUGUUAAGUCAGUUGUGAAAGUUUGCGGCUCAACCGUAAAAUUGCAGUUGAUACUGGCAGUCUUGAGUGCAGUAGAGGUGGGCGGAAUUCGUGGUGUAGCGGUGAAAUGCUUAGAUAUCACGAAGAACUCCGAUUGCGAAGGCAGCUCACUGGAGUGUAACUGACGCUGAUGCUCGAAAGUGUGGGUAUCAAACAGGAUUAGAUACCCUGGUAGCCCACACAGUAAACGAUGAAUACUCGCUGUUUGCGAUAUACAGUAAGCGGCCAAGCGAAAGCAUUAAGUAUUCCACCUGGGGAGUACGCCGGCAACGGUGAAACUCAAAGGAAUUGACGGGGGCCCGCACAAGCGG
rnacentral:rRNA from 1 species